AGACACUGCAGCCGCCGCCGCCGCCGCCAUGACCAGCAGCAUGUGAAGACGCCGUGGGUCCUUGUGCACACCUGCAGCGGCUGGGUGUCCUCUGCACGGGGACACACCCCUUCUCAGUCCCCAGCCAGAAAGUAUGGCGAGAGGACAGAAAUGAAACUCACGCUUGGAAAGCAGCACAUUUGUUACCAACAGAGGCUAAAAGACUGUUCCCAUGUUGAUGCCAAGAGAACAGAUUCACAAGACUCACCAACUGUGAAGCCCUUCAGAGGAGGGCACGGAAGGACCUACAUCCAGAGUGUGACCCGCUGGCAGCAAGGGUGAGCUGGAGUUUAAACCGAUGUCAUCUUUCUCUGGGUCACUUGGCAUAUGUUAAGCAGAUGGCAUAAUUGUCUCAACAAACAGAAACAAGAUGACGGAUGGAGAAUGGAUUGAAGAGAGGCAAGAGAAGAGAGGGGAAGCCAGUGACUGGCCAUCCUUGCAUGCCAGCAGCCUUGGUGUGAAGCCUCGGUGGGGAUGGAGAGAGGAAGAGUGCAUAUUGCACACCCUUCUGCAGGUACUGGAGUUUGGGCACGCAGAAGUGAUGGGAGAAACUAUGGUGUGUGUGUGGAAUACUUCCAUUGAGGUAACAACAGUCUUUCACCACACACUGAAGUGACAGACACUUCUAGCUCAAGAGGCGUGGGGGAAACUGUGCUGUGAUCUGCUCUAACUCAUCGGCCUGCUCUGGAGUGGUUUUUCUAGCCACUGUCUCAUGGACAUAGACACAGCACUCCACAGCUUUCAGUAAGCACAUACUCACUGCCGAGGCUAAAACACAAAUCUGUAAGGCUCACCUACAGACACUGAGAGCUGCCACCAGAAAGGACAAACCUCGGGUUUACAACGUCUUCCCAGAAUUAGUCACACAUACACACAUACACACACACACACAAGCUUGAAUUUUAUCAUCAACCCUACCAGUGCAUCUAAAGCAUGGUGGACAGAGAAACAAGAUAGAGGGUUCCGGAAUGAAUCAGCACACUCAAAUAGUAAAAAGCACCCUCUGCGGGGUGUAACACCUCAAUUCUUCGACUCCAGCAGUCUAUGAAGAGUAAGGAAGAUGGGUGGGGCGUCUGUAGUAGCUAAGAAAGUU